ACCUGCACCGAGUGUCCGGCGGGGAGCUCCUGCAACCCAGCCACAGGCCUUUGUAGAGGCGGGCCCCCGGAUCCAAAAAGCGAUGGCAGUGAUACAGGAUCCGUCCCUCCUGGUGAAACCACAGGUGGAGG
rnacentral:lncRNA from 1 species